ACGAACGCUGGCGGCGUGCUUAACACCUGCACGUCGUACGGUAAGGCCCUUUCGGGGGUACACGAGUGGCGAACGGGUGAGUAACACGUGAGUAACCUGCCCACAACUUUGGGAUAACGCUAGGAAACUGGUGCUAAUACUGGAUAUGUGCUCCUGCUGCAUGGUGGGGGUUGGAAAGCUCCGGCGGUUGUGGAUGGACUCGCGGCCUAUCAGCUUGUUGGUGGGGUAGUGGCCUACCAAGGCGGCGACGGGUAGCCGGCCUGAGAGGGUGACCGGCCACAUUGGGACUGAGAUACGGCCCAGACUCCUACGGGAGGCAGCAGUGGGGAAUAUUGCACAAUGGGCGCAAGCCUGAUGCAGCAACGCCGCGUGCGGGAUGACGGCCUUCGGGUUGGAAACCGCUUUCAGCAGGGACGAAGCUUUUUGUGACGGUACCUGCAGAAGAAGCACCGGCUAACUACGUG
rnacentral:rRNA from 1 species